AAAAAGGCAAACCCUGGAUUUUCGUAUCUAAUUUUGACUGUCCGUUUUAUAUCGUAUUUUCGUUGUUGUUAUAUGAUAAGACAUGAUUAAUAUUUUAUGCGUGACUUGUCUUUUAAUAUUUUUCAUAAUUUUUUCAAAUAAGAUGGAUGGUCAAAUGUUGGACACGGAAACCAGGGUUUGUCUUUUU
rfam:Oryza sativa (indica cultivar-group) chromosome 5, whole genome shotgun sequence.